rnacentral:rRNA from 1 species
AGUUGGGGGCAUCAGUAUUCUGAAGCGAGAGGUGAAAUUCUUGGACCUUCGGAAGACUAACAACUGCGAAAGCAUUUGCCUAGGAUGUUCUCUUUAAUCAAGAACGAAAGUUGGGGGAUCGAAGACGAUCAGAUACCGUCGUAGUCUCAACUAUAAACUAUGCCAGCUAGGGAUUGGUGGACGUUUAUCUACGACUCCAUCAGCACCUUAUGAGAAAUCAAAGCAUUUGGGUUCCGGGGGGAGUAUGGUCGCAAGGCUGAAACUUAAAGGAAUUGACGGGAGGGCACCACCAGGAGUGGAGCCUGUGGCUUAAUUUGACUCAACAC